GAUGAACGCUGGCGGCGUGCCUAAUACAUGCAAGUCGAGCGAACAGACGAGGAGCUUGCUCCUCUGACGUUAGCGGCGGACGGGUGAGUAACACGUGGAUAACCCACCUAUAAGACUGGGAUCACUUCGGGAAACCGGCGCUAAUACCGGAUAAUAUAUUGAACCGCAUGGUUCAAUAGUGAAAGACGGCUGUGCUGUCACUUAUAGCUGGAUCCGCGCCGCAUUAGCUAGUUGGUAAGGUAACGGCUUAUCAAGGCAACCAUGCGUAGGCGAACUGAGGGGGUGAUAGGCCACACUGGAGCGGGAACGCGGUCAAGACUCCUGCGGGAGGGAGCAGUAGGGAAUCUUCCGCAGUGGGCGAGAGCCUGACGGAGCAGCGCGAAGCGAGUGAUGAAGGCCCUGGGAGCGUGAAGCUCUGUUAUUAGGGAAGAACAGAUGUGUAAGGAGAUAUGCCGGUAUUGACGGUACCUGGUAAGAAAGCAACGGCUAACUACGUG
rnacentral:rRNA from 1 species